AGAUGGAAGUAUUAGGUUGGUGCAAAAAUAAUUGCGGUUUUUGCCAUUGAAAGUAAUGGCACAAAAUAAAGUUACUUUUGCACCAACUUGAU
rnacentral:miRNA from 1 species